rnacentral:tRNA from 1 species
UGGGGGCUAGUUCAGUUGGUAGAGUAUUUGCCUAGAAUGCACAAAGUCCUGGGUUCGAUUCCCAGGACCAUAU